rnacentral:rRNA from 1 species
UUUGGGUGGUGGAGCAUGUGGUUUAAUUCGAUGAUACGCGAGGAACCUUACCAAGACUUAAAUGGGAAUUGACAGAUUUAGAAAUAGAUCCUCCUUCGGGCAAUUUUCAAGGUGCUGCAUGGUUGUCGUCAGCUCGUGCCGUGAGGUGUUAGGUUAAGUCCUGCAACGAGCGCAACCCCUGUCACUAUUUGCCAUCAUUAAGUUGGGGACUCUAGUGAGACUGCCUACGCAAGUAGAGAGGAAGGUGGGGAUGACGUCAAAUCAUCACGGCCCUUACGUCUUGGGCCACACACGUGCUACAAUGGAAGGAA